GUGCUGUGAAUGGGUGAUUGGAAGGAGGCCACUUUAACUCUUGACUUGAUUAUUGCUCUGGAUUUGUCGAAACCGUCAAAAGGUAACGUCAUUGGUGUUGGAUCUUUGAUAGACGGGUUUAGAGAACCAGAUAGAAUUCUAGGAACACACAGAGGGUGUUCUUUAUAGUUUCGGCAUGGCUCCCCGUCGGGGAAUCAAACCCCGGUCUCCCGCGUGACAGGCGGGGAUACUUACCACCAGACUAAACAUAGCUGUUGUCAUCACAAUGAAACUCAAUUGUGGCUUUGAGUUGGAUGGGCAUCUGGAAAGCCCAUCGAGUGAAUUGGAUUGGUUAGUGAAGAAGAGGAAAAUAAUUGAAAAGCUGUUGGAAGUAAAGUUGCUGACUAUCACUCCUCCAAGAGCUGCUUGUAUUUGACAAAUAUUGGAAGAGGUCAAUCGAAAGGUUGAUGAAGAUUUGGCGGUCAACGCAGAAAGGAAACGACUCGACCUGCUCCUAGAGAGCCUUAAAAAGGAACGCAUUAACUUGAAACAUAGGAGUGAAAAACGAUCAUCAUCGAAACUUUUGGUUGUAUCUGGAGGUGGAAAUUCGACGGGGACAUUGGAACGUCAACCAAGGCCGAUGGAACCUCAAGAGAGGCCGAUGGAGCCGACGUUGAAGCUGUUGAAAAUGCUGCCGCCGCCACUGGAAUUACCGUGGCGUCUAUUGGAGUCUGCGUCAAGGCCAUUUGAUCCACAUCGAUCAUGUGAAUCGACAUUGAUAUCUGGUCCUUCAGAAUCGGCAUUGGAAUCAUUCGAAUCUCGACCGGUUGUGGGGAAAACUUGCUAUGAAGCAGAGCUGGUAACAAAACUGAAGUUUGAAGCUAUUGGACCACCAUGCGCGGCUUUUUUCCCUCAAUUGGGGAUGAAAACAUCUAUUCCAGAAAAAAUGUUUGUUCGCCCAAUAACCAUGGAUCUAAGCUUAGACAAAGGGGCCGGUCAACAAGAAGAAGAAUGUUUGCAUAGGAAGAAGCUGGAUUUAAGUGCUUGACUAAACAUGGACAAGGUCAAUGACAUGGAUUAUGAAGACUCAAGACUACUUGAAUGCAUCAGUGGACCGCCCUGGUAGUAGACUACUAGUGGAUUGAUCAAUGGCAUUAGAUGGGUUGAUAAUUAGAAUUUAACUGAUUUAUGGAUUGCAUUCGGAAUGUAACUGUCCUGGAAAGGCCAGUUAAGGGACCGGUGUUCAUGCUUAUCUUGACCCUUCUUUUAAUUAACGUCAUUACUUGAUAUAUGUUUUGCGUUGGCUCUAGUUUGUCUUAAACUAUAAUUAAUGAUUUAAUAAAUUAUGAUUUAGUUUC